rnacentral:rRNA from 1 species
ACACUCCUGCGGGAGGCAGCAGUGGGGAAUUUUGGACAAUGGGCGAAAGCCUGAUCCAGCAAUGCCGCGUGCAGGAUGAAGGCCUUCGGGUUGUAAACUGCUUUUGUACGGAACGGAAAAGCUCCUUCUAAUACAGGGGGCCCAUGACGGUACCGUAAGAAUAAGCACCGGCUAACUACGUGCCAGCAGCCGCGGUAAUACGUAGGGUGCGAGCGUUAAUCGGAAUUACUGGGCGUAAAGCGUGCGCAGGCGGUUAUGUAAGACAGAUGUGAAAUCCCCGGGCUCAACCUGGGAACUGCAUGUGUGACUGCAUGGCUAGAGUACGGUAGGGGGGGAUGGAAUUCCGCGUGUAGCAGUGAAAUGCGUAGAUAUGCGGAGGAACACCGAUGGCGAAGGCAAUCCCCUGGACCUGUACUGACGCUCAUGCACGAAAGCGUGGGGAGCAAACAGGAUUAGAAACCCGGGUAGUCCCAU